rnacentral:rRNA from 1 species
CAGCAGCCGCGGGAAAACGUAGGGUGCAAGCGUUAAUCGGAAUUACUGGGCGUAAAGCGUGCGCAGGCGGUUCUAUAAGACAGAUGUGAAAUCCCCGGGCUCAACCUGGGAACUGCAUUUGUGACUGUAGAGCUGGAGUGCGGCAGAGGGGGAUGGAAUUCCGCGUGUAGCAGUGAAAUGCGUAGAUAUGCGGAGGAACACCGAUGGCGAAGGCAAUCCCCUGGGCCUGCACUGGCGCUCAUGCACGAAAGCGUGGGGAGCAAACAGGAUUAGAUACCCCUGUAGUCCCUGUCUCUUAUAC